AAAUGAAUUGACGGGGGCCCGCACAAGCGGUGGAGUAUGUGGUUUAAUUCGACGCAACGCGAAGAACCUUACCAGGUCUUGACAUUGAUGGACAGAACUAGAGAUAGUUCCUCUUCUUCGGAAGCCAGAAAACAGGUGGUGCACGGUUGUCGUCAGCUCGUGUCGUGAGAUGUUGGGUUAAGUCCCGCAACGAGCGCAACCCCUAUCUUAUGUUGCCAGCACGUAAUGGUGGGAACUCAUGAGAGACUGCCGCAGACAAUGCGGAGGAAGGCGGGGAUGACGUCAAAUCAUCAUGCCCCUUAUGACCUGGGCUACACACGUACUACAAUGGGCUUUAAUAGAGGGAAGCGAAGUCGCGAGGCGGAGCAAACCCCAGAAACAAGCUCUCAGUUCGGAUCGUAGGCUGCAACUCGCCUACGUGAAGUCGGAAUCGCUAGUAAUCGCAGGUCAGCAUACUGCGGUGAAUACGUUCCCGGGCCUUGUACACACCGCCCGU
rnacentral:rRNA from 1 species